UAAAAGGACUUGAGGGCAAAAUAUUUUUACAUAUUAGAAAUACUACAAAUUGCUCGAUAACAUAAGGAAGUUUCAUCAGGAGGAGGAAAUGAAUUCAAUAUAUUUUCAUAUAUAAAACAAGCUUUGAUAGUAUAUAUUCGUAAAAAAUGGAAUCACCAGUUAACCAGACGCGCAAGGCGGUCAAAGGUCAGCGUUACUAA